GCGCAGGCGGCUUUGUAAGACAGGUGUGAAAUCCCCGGGCUUAACCUGGGAACUGCGCUUGUGACUGCAAGGCUCGAGUGCGGCAGAGGGGGGUGGAAUUCCACGUGUAGCAGUGAAAUGCGUAGAGAUGUGGAGGAACACCGAUGGCGAAGGCAGCCCCCUGGGUCGACACUGACGCUCAUGCACGAAAGCGUGGGUAGCAAACAGGAUUAGAUACCCUGGUAGUCCACGCCCUAAACGAUGCCAACUAGGUGUUGGGGAAGGAGACUUCCUUAGUACCGUAGCUAACGCGUGAAGUUGGCCGCCUGGGGAGUACGGUCGCAAGAUUAAAACUCAAAGGAAUUGACGGGGACCCGCACAAGCGGUGGAUGAUGUGGAUUAAUUCGAUGCAACGCGAAAAACCUUACCUACCCUUGACAUGCCAGGAAUCCUGCUGAGAGGCGGGAGUGCUCGAAAGAGAGCCUGGACACAGGUGCUGCAUGGCUGUCGUCAGCUCGUGUCGUGAGAUGUUGGGUUAAGUCCCGCAACGAGCGCAACCCUUGUCAAUAGUUGCCAUCAUUCAGUUGGGCACUCUAUUGAGACUGCCGGUGACAAACCGGAGGAAGGUGGGGAUGACGUCAAGUCCUCAUG
rnacentral:rRNA from 1 species